AGGGACUGAAGAGCAGAAAUAAGUAGGCAUUUAGCAAGAGUUUUCUGCCUUGAAAUUUUUUAUUGUACGUUUUCCCUUCUCUGAGGACUGAAGAGCACUGUGUUGGGAUAGGCUUCUGCUGAUGUGGCACCAGAAUUUCCAAAUUUGUCAGCUAGAAGGUAUUGCUGCUACCUCCGCCUCCUUUUGUGUGCUGCAGCACUACAGACGUGGCAGCUCCCAGCGCGGCUUCCCAACGAUACAGUACGCAUGCUGUAUGUCCCUGGUGACGGUCAGGACAAGGGGGGAGUCAAUAAUUCCAAGUUAAGAGCCACGAAACACACACACACACACACACACACACACAGACAAAAAUCAGGGAGGAGGAAUGAAGAGUCUGCCAAAAAGAAAAUCAAAAAAAAAAAAAAAAAGAGAGAAAGUAAAAGAUUUUUCUUCUUCUUUAUUUUUUUUUCUUUCCAUAGGAAAAGUUUGGUAGCGGCACAGCCCGAUGCUCAGAGCCUGAGAACUGCCAGAUGCCAGAGUUUUGUUGUCUUUGUUACAGUUUCUCAGUAACACUAAAGAAAUGGCUGUUACGGUUUGACUAAAGCUUGCAAAUCAAGAAAUCUGUAGGGGAAAUCUUUCAGCCUCUUGCCUGCUCCCUCUGAAGGGGGAGAAGCUGGAGGCGGGAUGACUCACCCGUCCCUGGGACUUUUAAUUUUAAGAGUCUGGAGCUGCUGUGAGCGGGGCCAGGCUGUGGAACACCCGGAGCCUUGCAGGGUUUUAUGACCCCCUUCCACGUCAUCCUGCAGCUCUCAAAUCCCUGGAAGAAAUAUGCAGGCAGAGCAGGGGGGAAGGGAAUCCUCCACUUUUUGACCUGCAGGUUUUCUUGCACUCUGUUCAAGCGCUUGCAUCUUUAACCCAUAAGCAUACAUUUUGCCAACAUUCCUCCCAAGUGCAUGUCUACUUCCCAUUGGUUUCCCAAUGCAUUUCUAUAUCCUGCGGGCUUGUUUGGAAAACUAAGGGAGUUAGCAUUUUCCUUUUCGCCUUGGAAAAAGACAUUUUGCCUCUCUUUCUUUGUGCCUGUGCUUUAUGUGCUUGAGGGAUAAGUUCUGCCACCUCUGAGACUUCCCAUUCCUCGAUAUAAAAGUACCUAGGAGGUAAGAUCCAAAACUGGAGUGGCUUAAUAGUGUUUCUAAAUAGCACAAAGAAGCAUGAUAAAGCCAGAGGACACUUCUCUGUGCUGUACCUUCAAUACCCUAAUUUUGUUACCAAGCUAAGUGAAUAACUAGGAAUUUACAGCUAAGCAGAAAGGUGCUUGUUUUUCUUUCAGAAAAAAACGCAUGGAGAGGGAGCAAUAGUCUCCUCAGCUGUUAGAAAGAGCAGUUUUAAUGAACAGCAAAUGUCUAAACUUCCCUGCUGCUCCCCACCCUCCUGAAAAAGUUUCCCUGCUCCUUGCCACAACAUAAACACUGUAUGUGGCAUUAUUUUUUUUAGCCUAAUCCGAGUUGUUUCACAUAGCUGUGCAACAAAAGAGUGCAAAAAUCAUCUGGAAAACACAUGCAGGAUAGAGGCAGGGCUUCGAACCAUCUGUGCACGGUCAGAUUGAAAGAAUCUCAUGGAGCAGCUCUGCAAGGGGAAGCUGGCUUGUUUCACUUCGUGACGUGUCAGGAGGAUGCAAAUGAUAGACCAUACUGGGGCUGAGCACAAGGCCUGGGCAAAGCAUAAAAUAGCCUUUGCUAAACUGCCCCCUGGAUCUCGUUUGCGUGAAAAGAACUUGAAAACCUCUCCCCACCAGUAGCAGACACCCCCUUCUCAGAGUCACAUAAAUAUCUUCUGGUCAGGGUGUUUGGAAGCCAGCUAAUUCAGCUUUCUGCGUGAAACAACAUUGGUGCAAACGCUGUGUCACGUCAGCUACGGCUCGCUCACGUGUUGUGAGGUAGAAUGAAGAGGAGCCCUAGAGAGUGAAGAAGUGGAUGCAGCUUUGGCCAUCAGUGAGGACAGCAGCUUGUGCCUUACUCCAUGGCUACCACAGCCCAUGUGAGCAUACAGAGCUCUCAGUUUUGUUCAGAAGCUGCAAUGGGGCCAACAGAUCAACUGUCAAACUAUUGCUUCCUCCUGCAAGCACCAUUAAAAAUGGAUCAUCUGGAGCUAAGAUGAUUUUCUUUGAGGCCAGGUGCAGAUGUAAUGAAAGAAUAAAUGCAGCCUACAAUAGCACUGGGAAAAGAGCUUUUGAGAAUCUUUUUUCUGUUGUGUUCUCCUCACAAAGGACACAAAACAAGUGAAAGAAGCCGAACUGGAAGAGGUGUGAAAGGUGAAACAAUAUGAGAGUCCUGAAAAGAUGGGAGGAAACUUUGACCACAUAGGACUGACUCCAGAUGCUCUUCCACACGCAUAAUAAUGGACUGCUCUCUUCCAUGAGUAACACAAUUGCAAUCAGUAAAGAUACUCAAAUGAGUAAAACAUGAAACAUUAAGCUCACAGGCGGAGAUGAGGUUGAUCUGUCAGUAGGGGCAGCAACGUGGGUGCUAGGUCUCUAUUUCAGGUAAAUGAAUGGUAGUCAGAUCUGCAGCAAAUUAUGGAUGCAAGAAAAAAUCUUUGUGUGACUAAAAAUGUGGAUCUGGAAUGGUGGAACCAAGAGGCUUCAUGAAAUGUGCAAGGCAAGAUGAACAUCAGCAUGCUGUGAUACUCUAUUCUGUAGAAAACACUGAGGAAUUGGGAACAGGAGAAAUUCAUUCCACACAAAAUCCUGGAGCAUUAUAAUACAGUGAUCACGAUAUAGGCAAGGAAAAGUCAGACUUGUUGUCAGCUCAUUCAUGCAUUCUGUGGAGUGCAUGAUUUAUGUUUACUGUCACUGCUGUGUACUUUUGUUUACCCAUGAGACACACAAAACAAACUUGGGACUGCAGCUGGAAAACAUUGCCGGAGGUACCUCUCCCAUGACAAAGAUCAUCGUGUGCAAACGGACAUUAAUUGUCAUUAUUCUGAUCAGAAUAAGUUAUCCAAAGAAUGAUUAGGAAUAUCUGGUUUCAAUUCUUUGAUAAAAUCUCCAAGAGCAGCAGUGAGCAUCAGCCCUGGAAUACAGUGGACAAAACUGCUAGGUUUUCCAGAUAUUGAAACAGGAGAACUUUCAGCCUGAGGUGGAUGUAAGGUCCUGGAAAAAACCAUAAGCCUUUCCCAGUUAGUUGCUGAUGUACCGGGAAUGCUCUUGAGGAUUGCUUUAUUCCGCAUUCCUUUUCCACUUCUUCCUCUCAUCUGACAUCUCUUUUGUUGCCCGUACAGGUGGAAUUCUCUGUGAAAUUCAUGUAUUUCUGUCAGCAUACCCAAAGGAGGCAGAGCAAACAAUAAAUAUAAAUGAUAGGCCCAGAAAGAUCAUUAACGUAAUACCCAUUUAUUCCCUAAUUCUUAGCGCUUUGACCUUUCCCUAAGGAAAUGGAAUACAUUCUGAGUAAGUAAAAAAAAACAUCUUGCAAACAGCUUCAUGUGAAGUCCCUUCCUGAUAUCAUCCCAACCUUUAUAAUCAGAUAUUGGUAAUCUUAUAAGCAAGUGAUUACAUGGAUUCCUUACAUUUGAAAGGAGUCACCCGGUUUUUCAGAGAUGUGUAAACUGCAAGCCAGUGUUGGCAGCCAUUCAUCUUUCAUUCUGUCACAGGGAACAAGAAAUAAAGAAGGGACUUUCUUGAGCAAAACGUCCAGCUUAAUGAAUAUAAUUUCCUUUUAUGACAAAGUUACCCAAAGGGAAGCCACUUGAUGUAAUCUUUUUCAAUUUCAGCAAAGCUCUCACAGUAUCCUUCCGCACAAAAUGUCCAGCACAUCUUGGCAAAAGCGUAAUGCGAUGGGUGAACAACUGGCUGACAAGGGUUAUAGAAAAUGGUACUACAUUUCUGUGUUUCAGUGGAGACAACAGGAACCUUCAAGGAGUCUUUGCUGAGACUAACUUUACUUAUCAGAGUAGGCAUUGAUGGGAAAGCUAUAUAAAUUAUUUUUUAAAAUAAUAUAUCUGAUAAGCUAUAACCUGGGUUUAACCAUGGGUUCUUUAAUGAAAUUUUGAGAGCUUUUUUUGUCCAAAAAAUCAGCCACUUAAUGCAAAGGAGGUGUACAAACAUAAAAAACAACAGAAACAUUAUGGGAGCUCCCCACAGUUGACCUUGAUGGAGUCAUCAGAGGAGCAUACAUCUGCAACCAGUGCUGGACCAAAGGAACAACUGAAAGUCAGACAGAACUGACAGAGAUGCCUCAGCAGGAAUGUGAGAACAGAUGUGCACACCAGUCCUUUUCCUGCUACAAAGAGCUAGCAGCUUAGGGCUUGCAGACCUCUGGAUUUCAAUCACAUGUCAAGUUCAACAGUCACCAGUGGAACUAUAUUCCUGACAAAUCUCUCUCUUUCCCCCUCAGGGCCCUGUACAUGUGCAUUCAUUCAGAUUUUUUUUUUUCUGUGAACUCCCAGUGCAGCAUAAUCCUUUCACACCCCUAGGGGCAUCUGUUUGUUUGAAACAAAACACCACCAGAGCCUGGUUUUUACUGUGGACUUCAGCACCUACUCUGAGGAAUAGUGUUCAACAGCUUGUAAGAGAAGGCCUCAUUUCUAAUAAGUUGUUUUCCCUACGGCUAUGUUCUCUCUUGAACUUUGAAGGAAGCCUUUCAUUUAGUUUCAAGUUAUACCUUCCUGCCUUGAUAAUAAAUACGCUUUGCUCUUUUGGAGAGGACCUGAUGUUGUUCUCACUAUACAAUACAUAUAAAAGAUGCCUUGGGAUAGUCUUGCUGGCCAAAACAAAAGGGAUGCCUCGUUCAGUGCACUGCAAAUGAGCAUGGCUAUGUGCUGAUUUUGGCUCGCUCAUUUCCUAUUCCACCCUAGCAUUUGUAAAUUAAACUCCUAUUUUCGGAUUUCCAUAGAUUGUUCCAAAGUUUAUGUGAUUCCUUUAAUUAUGGCAUGGAGUAGGGGCAACUGCAUUCCAAGAAACCAAUAAUUACCUGGAACAUGUUAUUACAGUGAGACGUGUGUAGAUCUGUAGCAUCUGUGAAACUCCAUGCAACAUAACUGAAGAAACGGCUGAAAAUGGAUCUGACACAGUUGCAAUAAAGAAGUCUCAAAAAACUACUGUCUUCUUUCAGUACCAUAAUUUGUGUCACAGAAUUACAGCUCAAGUGGAACUGCCAUUUGAACUGCCACUGGAACUGCCAUUUGAACAAAUCUCACUUUUUAGUGGUGAAAAAUAACCUGAAUCCAAUCAGAAUUGUUUUUUUCUAUUAAUGCAUGUAUCCUUGGCAGUGCUAUUGCUGACAAAAAGUCUGUUCUUUUUUCAGCAGAGAUAAUGCAAAAAACAAAUGAAAAACAAAAAACAGAAACAAAACAAAACAACCUGACAGCUCAGUGCAAGGCUUAGUUUCCAUUUCAGGGUCAUGUGGAGGGGGUGUUCUUCAGAUGUUCCUGAAAUAAAUGUCUAUUACACUAUAAUUUAUGUUAUGUUAUGUUUAUUAGGUCCUCCGUAAAGUUUUCUUCAUAAAAGGCUGCAUAGCAAGCCUCCAAUUCUUAAGGAAUUAGAAUGGAAAUGUCACUCUCAUUUAAAAUUUAGAAGAGUAAAAACACUGAAAAAACAGAGAGAAAGAAACAUCAAAUUUAUCCUGAGUUUACCCCAUUGUAGCUAAUUAGCACAAGAGUUUUUAGGGACAUUCCCAUUUCAUGCAAGACCGCCCAUGAUCCCUUAGCAGUCAGGCAUUUAUUGUAUAGCUGUGAAACCUGUGUAAAUCUUUAUAUUUUAAUCUACAGCAAAGCUUUAAGUUUUAAUCUGCAGCUUUCCCACUGUUAAUUUUACUCAGGGUCAUUCUUAAUGGUCAUAGUUCCUAAGAUUAAGAAAAUAGCUGACAUCUUCACACCAACAAAGCAAUGUGGUUGUUAAUUCUCCA
rnacentral:lncRNA from 1 species